GACGAACGCUGGCGGCGUGCUUAACACAUGCAAGUCGAACGGAAAGGCCCUGCUUUUGUGGGGUGCUCGAGUGGCGAACGGGUGAGUAACACGUGAGUAACCUGCCCUUGACUUUGGGGUAACUUCAGGAAACUGGGGCUAAUACCGGAUAGGAGCUCCUGCUGCAUGGUGGGUGCUGGAAAGAUUCGGCGGUUGGGGAUGUACUCGCGGCUUAUCAGCUUGUUGGUGGGGUAGUGGCUUACCAAGGCUUUGACGGGUAGCCGGCCUGAGAGGGUGACCGGCCACACUGGGACUGAGAUACGGCCCAGACUCCUACGGGAGGCAGCAGUGGGGAAUAUUGCACAAUGGGCGGAAGCCUGAUGCAGCAACGCCGCGUGCGGGAUGACGGCCUUCGGGUUGUAAACCGCUUUCGCCUGUGACGAAGCGUGAGUGACGGUAAUGGGUAAAGAAGCACCGGCUAACUACGUG
rnacentral:rRNA from 1 species